CCUACGGGUGGCUGCAGUGGGGAAUAUUGGGCAAUGGGCGCAAGCCUGACCCAGCAACGCCGCGUGAAGGAAGAAGGCUUUCGGGUUGUAAACUUCUUUUAAGGGGGAAGAGCAGAAGACGGUACCCCUUGAAUAAGCCACGGCUAACUACGUGCCAGCAGCCGCGGUAAUACGUAGGUGGCAAGCGUUAUCCGGAUUUACUGGGUGUAAAGGGCGUGUAGGCGGGAAAGCAAGUCAGAUGUGAAAACCAUGGGCUCAACCUGUGGCCUGCAUUUGAAACUGUUUUUCUUGAGUACUGGAGAGGCAGACGGAAUUCCUAGUGUAGCGGUGAAAUGCGUAGAUAUUAGGAGGAACACCAGUGGCGAAGGCGGUCUGCUGGACAGCAACUGACGCUGAGGCGCGAAAGCGUGGGGAGCAAACAGGAUUAGAUACCCCAGUAGUC
rnacentral:rRNA from 1 species